rnacentral:SRP_RNA from 1 species
CCGUGCAGCCGGGGAGAUAGCGGUGCCCUGUACCUGCAAUCCGCUAUAGCAGGGGUGAUGUCUUGCCUCGGAUCCUUCAUUGUAGGGCUGCCCUUUAUAAGUGAUGUUGACGUCUGGGUCUUACGCAACAAGAAUUUGUGAACCGUGUCAGGUCAGGAAUGGAGCAGCACUAAGCAAAACCUCUUGUGUGCCGUAAGGCUACCUGGGCCGAGUUAACUGUAAAGGUAACGCCUAUGAGGAGGAUACAAAGUAAGACGCACGG